UAGGUGGUUGAUGGUGGGAGUAGUGAUAUGGUUGUGUGAAAGAUUAAGGGAUGGAUGUGUGAGUAGAAGGGGGAAUAAGGUGAAAGGGGGAAUGGGUGAUUAAAUGAGUUAUGGUUGGUUGGAUGUUAGGGAGAGUUAGAUGGAUAAGUGUGGUAAUUGUAGAGGUAAUAGAUGAAGGUGGUGGGGGGAGGAGUGAUGGAAGGGUGGGUUUUAUUAGAAGAAAAGGAAUGGGUGGGGUGGUGGGUGGGUUGGGUUGGUGAGUGUGAAUAAGUUUGGGGUGAUGGGAGGGUGGGAGGAGGGGGGAGGGAUGUUUGAAAUGUGUGGGUUAUGAAGUUUGGAUGGUAGGUUGUGGGGGUAGGAUGGUUGUAAGGGGUGAGGGGGAAUGAGGGUUGGAUUGGGGAGAGGGAGGGUGAGAAAGGGGUAGGAGAUGGAAGGAAGGGAGGAGGGGGGGAAAUUAGGGAGUGGGGGGAGGGGGAGGUAGUGAGGAAAAAUAAGGAUAUAAAGUUGUUGGGGUUAAAAAGGUGGUAGUGGGAGGUGUGUGUGGGAGGGUGGGUUGGGUGGUUGUGGGUGUUGAAGUGGGGGGUGGGGAGGUGGUGGGGGUGGGGGUGUAAAAGGGUGGGUUAUGGUUGUUUGGUGGUGUUGAUUGAGUGGGUUGGUGGGGGGGGAGGUUUAGUUUGAAGAAAUUAGAGUGGUGAAAGGAGGGGGUUGGUGGGGUGAAUAGUGUGUGGAUGGAAUAAUGGAAUAGGAGGUGGGUUGGAUUUUGUUGGUUUUGAGAAGUGGAGGUAAUGAUUAAUAGGGAGGGAGGGGGGGAUUGGUAUUGGGAGGUUAGAGGUGAAAUUGUUGGAUGGUGGGAAGAGGAAGGGAUGGGAAAGGAUUUGGCAAGAAGGUUUUGGUUGAUGAAGAAGGAAAGUUAGAGGUUGGAAGGGGAUGAGAUAGGGGGGUAGUUGUAAGGAUAAAGGAUGGGAGGUAGGGAUGGGGGGAAGUUGGUUAUAUGAGUGGGGGGGGAGGUUGGGGGAAAGGAAAGGUGUUGGKUUGGGGGGGAAGUAUGGUUGGAAAGGU
rnacentral:rRNA from 1 species